CAAACUACAUUUCCCCUUCUUCUGUGUGGAUACCAAUAUUUCCCUGACAUAUAAGACACAGGUCUCCACUACUCCACUACUGCAGGGACUAGACAAGUUCUUACAUGGUGAACAAUGCAAGGGCAUUCAUACCAUAGAAACUGUUUCUGUAUUAACUACAAACCUUGAACUAUAAACAAUCAAGUCAAAUAUGAUGUAUGAUUAUUCAUUUGAUUUUUAUACUUUAUAUGUAAUUCUAAUAAAAUGUUGAUGUAGUAGGUAAAUGCAAGAUAUAGAUAGAAAGCAUGAUUCAGUGCUGUAAGAAAGCAAGUGUAGAUGAUUAUGUCUGUGCCUAUAGACUAGGUAUUAAUCCAGGCUGGACAAGGGCAACAAAACAUCCACGGGUGUAGACAAAUUCUCCCAAAACUGGGGGGGUGAGGUUCUAAGCCUCACCUCUGUUGGCCCCCAUUUUCUCACCUGAUGGCCCCCCUGCAACUGUGCCUGUCUUAGGUUGUUCCUCCCUUGAGGAAUCUUACCCAUCUAUGGCUAACCAGCCAUCUUCUGGGGCCACACAGGGAGAUGUAAAGCUGGAGCACUGUCCUGAAAAGCUCCUGGGAAACUUAUGUUCUCAUCCUUUCCACACUGCUCAGCAAAGGUUAGUUAACCCUUAGCAAAAAUGCAGGUAAAAGCAAACCCAAUAAUAUAAUAGAAAAAGCAAAAUCAAGGUGGGUAAUAGGGGGAGCCAGCUGUGAAGGCCCCUGCUUUGUGGGGGUCUUCUUCCAGCCUGAGCUUUGCUACACAGCUUGAAUGGCA